rnacentral:rRNA from 1 species
AACGAACGCUGGCGGCAUGCCUAACACAUGCAAGUCGAACGAGACCUUCGGGUCUAGUGGCGCACGGGUGCGUAACGCGUGGGGACCUGCCCUUAGGUUCGGAAUAACUCCCCGACAGGGGUGCUAAUACCGGAUCAUGUCUUCGGACCAAAGAUUUAUCGCCCUUGGAUGGGCCCGCGUUGGAUUAGCUAGUUGGUAGGGUAAAAGCCUACCAAGGCGACGAUCCAUAGCUGGUCUGAGAGGAUGAUCAGCCACACUGGGACUGAGACACGGCCCAGACUCCUACGGGAGGCAGCAGUGGGGAAUAUUGGACAAUGGGCGAAAGCCUGAUCCAGCAAUGCCGCGUGAGUGAUGAAGGCCUUAGGGUUGUAAAGCUCUUUUACCCGGGAUGAUAAUGACAGUACCGGGAGAAUAAGCUCCGGCUAACUCCGUG